GGGGGCGUUUUUGGAUUCGACAGGGGUUCCAUGAGCUAGUUAAGCGUGUCGGAGGGUUGUCUCCGUCACCAACACACACAGUUAUAAUAACUGGCAAAGAAAACAAUAAUUUCGCAGUAGCUGCGUAAUAGCACUCUGCAUCGCCUAACGGUAUCUCCUAUGUACCGUUAACGCGAUUCAACCUAUAGUAGGAUACGCUAGGCACUGCCGUUUGAAGUCUGCCUAGAAGAGAUGAAUCAAACUAGCAUAAUGACGGAUGUCUAUCAC
rnacentral:tmRNA from 1 species